AUCAUCUGCCUACCACGCUGGUUUUGGUUCGUAUUGCUAGUAGCAGAGAGUUCGAUCAUGGCUCAGAUUGAACGCUGGCGGGAUGCUUUACAUGCAAGUCGAACGGCAGCACGGACUUCCGGUCUGGUGGCGAGUGGCGAACGGGUGAGUAAUGUAUCCGGAACGUGCUAGUAGCGGGGGAUAACUUCUGCCAGCGUAGCUAAUACGCAUACGCCCUUCGGGGAAAGCGGGGGACCUUCGGGCCUCGCACUAUUAGAGCGGCCGAUAUCGGAUUAAUAGUUGGUGGGGUAACAGCUCCGCCAAGGCGACGAUCCGUAGCUGGUUUGAGAGGACGACCAGCCACACUGGGACUGAGACACGGCCCAGACUCCUACGGGAGCAGCAGUGGGGAAUUUUGGACAAUGGGGAGACCCUGAUCCAGCCAUCCCGCGUGUGCGAUGAAGGCCUUCGGGUUGUAAAGCACUUUUGGCAGGAAAGAAACGGCACGGGAUAGUACCCCGUGCAACUGACGGUACCUGCAGAAUAAGCACCGGCUAACUGCGUGCAGCAGCCGCGGUAAUACGUAGGGUGCAAGCGUUAAUCAGAUACUGGGCGUAAAGCGUGCGCGGUGGUUCGGAAGAAAGAUGUAGAAAUCCCAGAGCUUAACUUUGGAACUGCAUUUUUAACUACCGAGCUAGAGUGUGUCAGAGGAGGUGGAAUUCCGCGUGUAGCAGUGAAAUGCGUAGAUAUGCGGAGGAACACCGAUGGCGAAGGCAGCCUCCUGGGAUAACACUGACGCUCAUGCACGAAAGCGUGGGGAGCAAACAGGGAUUAGAAUCCUGGUAGUCCACGCCUAAACGAUGUCAGCUAGCUGUUGGGGCCUUCGGGCCUUGGUAGCGCAACUAACGCGUGAAGUUGACCGCCUGGGGGAAAUACGGUCGCAAGAUUAAAACUCAAAGGAAUUAACGGGGACCCGCACAAGCGGUGGAUGAUGUGGAUUAAUUCGAUGCAACGCGAAAAACCUUACCUACCCGCCAGCAUGUGUCUGGAAUCCCGAAAAGCCCCAGGAGUGCUCGCAACAAGAGGCCGGAACACAGGUGCUGCAUGGCUGUCGUCAGCUCGUGUCGUGAGAUGUUGGGUUAAGUCCCGCAACGAGCGCAACCCUUGUCCGUGCUGGUUGCUACGAAAGGGCACUCUAAUGAGACCGCCGGUGACAAACCGGAGGAAGGUGGGGAUGACGUCAAGUCCUCAUGGCCCUUAUAGGUGGGGCUUCACGUCAUACAAUGGUCGGGACAGAGGGUCGCCAACCCCGCGAGAGGCCAAUCGAGGAAACCCGAUCGUAGUCGGAUCACCAGUCUGCAACUCGACUGCGUGAAGUCGGAAUCGCUAGUAAUCGCGGAUCAGCAUGUCGCGGUGAAUACGUUCCCGGGUCUUGUACACCGCCCGUCACACCAUGGGAGUGGGUUUUACCAGAAGUAGUUAGCUAAUACCGUAAGGGCGAUUACCACGGUAGGAUUCAUGACUGGGUGAAGUCGUAACAAGGUAG
rnacentral:rRNA from 1 species